AGUGAACGCUGGCGGUAGGCCUAACACAUGCAAGUCGAACGGCAGCACAGGAGAGCUUGCUCUCUAGGUGGCGAGUGGCGGACGGGUGAGGAAUACAUCGGAAUCUGCCCAGUCGUGGGGGAUAACGUAGGGAAACUUACGCUAAUACCGCAUACGACCUUCGGGUGAAAGAGGGGGAUCGCAAGACCUCUCGCGAUUGGAUGAGCCGAUGUCGGAUUCGCUAGUUAGCGGGGUAAUGGCCCACCAAGGCGACGAGCCGUAGCUGGUCUGAGAGGAUGAUCAGCCACACUGAACUGAGACACGGUCCAGACUCCUACGGGAGGCAGCAGUGGGGAAUAUUGGACAAUGGGCGCAAGCCUGAUCCAGCCAUACCGCGUGGGUGAAGAAGGCCUUCGGGUUGUAAAGCCCUUUUGUUGGGAAAGAAAACUUUCAGGCUAAUACCCUGGGAGGAUGACGGUACCCAAAGAAUAAGCACCGGCUAACUUCGUG
rnacentral:rRNA from 1 species